rnacentral:lncRNA from 1 species
CCAGCCUGGGGGUGGAGGGGGAUCAAUGUCCUACUCUGUCUCUGUCCCCGCCAAUAAUGCGGUGAGUGCCCUGCUGACACACUUCAUGGCUGGCUCCAGUCCUACUGUGGCAACCCAGGCAGUCCCUGCCCAUAUGUCUGCUCCGCCAUCCCACCCCGUGUGCUCACCAGUGGUCCACACCGUCGGCAGUCCAAUGCCAGCACCAGCUCCUGUUUCAGUGCCUGCUGCCUCCGUCUCACACGUCGUCUGUGGCUCCGCGCCCUCUCCCACCACCCAGGCUCCAUGUGGCCCAAUGGCCACUGUGUCCUCCCAACCCCUGAGCGCCCCAGUAGCCCAUGGCAUGUGCUCCCCAGGCCCUGGCCCAGCAGCUUCCCCAGUGCCCCGUUCUACCACCCGUAGCACCACCCCAACAGGGCUGCAGAUGGGGAGCACCCCGGUGGCCCACUCGCUGUACUCCGCAGCCCCCCGCCCCGUGGGACCCCCAGCAUCCCACUCGCUGUGCUCCCCGGCCUCCCGCCCAGUGGGGCCCCCGGCAGCCCACUCACUGUGCUCCCCCACCUCCGUCUCGCUGGGGGCCACAGGGGGCCGCCCCGCCAGCGUGCCUGCCGCUCGCCCCGAGGACUCAUCGGCAGCCUGCCUCCCAUGCUCCCCGGCGCCACGGCCCGUGGCAGCUGCCACAGCCCGCUCUCUCUACACCCCCACCUCUCGCUCGGCCUCACGGGUCAUGGGCACCGCAGGGUCUCGCUCAGUGUGCGGCCCUCAGUGGGGUCCCUCCUGUGACACCACCACUCGCUUGGGCUCCCAAUCCACGUGGGGACCAACCUCCCGCUCAGCAUGGAGCCUCGUGGGGCACUCGGGCUACUCCCACUUGUCCCGCACUGCCUAUGGUGCACUCACGCGCCCUCCAUACAGCUCCCUGUCCCGCUCCUCCUACAACACCUUGUCCCGCUCUGCCUACACCACCCUACCCCGCUCCACCUCUGCCUAUGCAACCCUGCCCCGCUCGGGGUCGCGCUCCUCUGGCAGCACACUGCCCCAGGUGGGGUCCCGCACGCCCUGGAGCCCUGAGAGGAGCAGUCUCACCUACUUCAAACGCAAAUACCUGUAAUGGAGAGAAACCAGGGGAAAAGCCAAAGCCAGUGAAUUAAAGCCUGUGUGCAGAUGCUUUGAAAGAGGUUAGAAAUAGGGUGAUGGAGAGCAGCGUGUGUAGUCCUGAGUAUUUAUCCACGCAUUUGAGAUGUGCCAGAAAGCAGGCUGCUAACCGACUGCUGAGGGAUGCAUUUGAUGUAAUACUUGUAUGUCUUGAGACGGUAUGGUGGAAGUGACAAAUGAACAUGCUCCCUGUGGAGCCAUGGUGACAAUAGUUGCACAGUGCAGGUAAUCAGACUUACUUGCUUGGUCAAGCUGUUUUAUAAAUGAUGUGCUUUCACUCUCUCUUCUCUUGAUUUCUUGCAAUGUGUAUUUCUCACAUCUCCCUAGGCUACAG